rnacentral:sRNA from 1 species
UGAUCUCCCUUCCCUUCCCGACUUAUUAAAAUAGUCCCCAUGUCCCCUUUUGUCUAGUUAUGUUUGAAUUUGAACGGUUGCAUAGAUAGAUAUUCACGAUACCAAAGCGGGCCCAUUCUGCAGAACCUGGAGGUGUCUCACGGAUCUAAAUGUCUUCAAUUCGAGGGAGAGUGGCCAUAAGAUCGCUGCUGAAUUCUCGUUGGCGGCAUUGGCCUCAGGACUCUUUUAUUUUAUUUUAUUUUAUUUUUAUUCGUUCAAGGCAGUUGCAGAGAUAACUCAGAAGUAUUACUUCCAACAUCAUCGACCUCAACAUCUUCGCCGUCAUGACCCAUCAAGAGCCUUCGUCGCAGCUCAUCAAGCUUCCCCGCCGUUAACUUUAGACAAAAGUCUGAGCUCCGCACUCCAGACCUUCGAAGGGCGAUCCACGCUGCGCAAGGCCCAGUCCUUCCGCGCCCGCCGCCAAUCUGAUUUUAGCUGCGAUCUAGCCAGAGAUUCAUCGAACUGAACCGGCCUAACGAACUUAAUGUAUACGAUGUCGCUGGAGCUUUAGUGUUUUUGCAACAAGGUUUGGCGUGUCCGAGUUCGUUUUCUCCCAUUUUCUCGCCACGGAUGCUGACAUGAUGUCGGUGAUUGGUGCGGAGUUGCCGGUGGCUGAAGCACGUACUACUUUCUGCCCAGGACUCAAUUAUGGAUCCGUGACCAAAGUUUUCUUCCGAGUUUCUUUUUGCUUUGUAGAUGUGAGCGACGAAAGGAAUUGCAAUUGACUAAUUUUUAACGGCAGUGACCAGGAUCCGCGCCCCCUUGUGUGGCUGAAAUAGUUAACUUACGCAGUAACUAGAUGAUGGAAAACGGAAGAAAAGGAAAAGAAAAGACAACCAGAUAAGGAAAAAGCAAGUGACAAAAGGCGGGGGUAGAUAUGAAGAGUACGCCCUCCCUCAUAUCUCUUCCAAGAACAGUAGUGGAGCGCCUAGAUAGAGACUAAGGGAAGCUGGUCGGAUUGAUUAUCGGGGAUUCUGCUUACUGUGGCUACAUAUCCUGCUCAAGCUUCGAUAUCCGCAGCUUAUUCUCGGAGCAGAUAUUCGAUAUGCUUUGUUCAAAAAUGAAGGUUACUGUCCAAAUACAAAAAUGGCCUGGGCUGGUUGUUGCAGAUUCUAUGUCCUGCAUCGUUAGCUGUCGCGUGCAUUCUCUUAUGUAUGCAAGGCAUUUUCUGUUUCUGUUGUGAAUGCAGCUAAAUGUCAACCAAAGGGCAAGCGAAGUGGAUACAUCAAUUUUCUAUCGUUUUAUAUAUCUAUAAUUUUGCCUUCAGCAACCUGCAGGAGUAUUUUUGAGGUAUUUAUUUUAUUGCUGUAGUAUGGUCAAGGUAGCUAAAUCUAUGA